rnacentral:tRNA from 1 species
GCAGCUCAGUGGAACAGCCUCUGCUUUGCACACAGACGGCCCCAGGUUCAAUCCCUGAAGUCUCCA